rnacentral:rRNA from 1 species
UGCCCAAGAGAUCGGGAUAACACCUGGAAACAGAUGCUAAUACCGGAUAACAAUAGAUGAUGCCUAUCAACUGUUUAAAAGAUGGUUCUGCUAUCACUCUUGGAUGGACCUGCGGUGCAUUAGCUAGUUGGUAGGGUAACGGCCUACCAAGGCGAUGAUGCAUAGCCGAGUUGAGAGACUGAUCGGCCACAUUGGGACUGAGACACGGCCCAAACUCCUACGGGAGGCAGCAGCA